UAUUUUAAAGAGAGUUUGAUCCUGGCUCAGGACGAACGCUGGCGGCGUGCCUAAUACAUGCAAGUCGAACGAACGGAGGAAGAGCUUGCUCUUCCAAUGUUAGUGGCGGACGGGUGAGUAACACGUGGGCAACCUGCCUGUAAGUUGGGGAUAACUCCGGGAAACCGGGGCUAAUACCGAAUGAUAAAGUGUGGCGCAUGCCACGCUUUUGAAAGAUGGUUUCGGCUAUCGCUUACAGAUGGGCCCGCGGUGCAUUAGCUAGUUGGUAGGGUAAUGGCCUACCAAGGCAACGAUGCAUAGCCGACCUGAGAGGGUGAUCGGCCACACUGGGACUGAGACACGGCCCAGACUCCUACGGGAGGCAGCAGUAGGGAAUCUUCCGCAAUGGACGAAAGUCUGACGGAGCAACGCCGCGUGUAUGAAGAAGGUUUUCGGAUCGUAAAGUACUGUUGUUAGAGAA
rnacentral:rRNA from 1 species